rfam:Schistosoma curassoni strain Dakar, Senegal genome assembly, scaffold: SCTD_scaffold0000103
AUCUAGCUGAACAGUCCUAAAUAGGACGAAACGCCCAUCCUGGAU